GCUUCAGUAGGGGUGUUUUCUACUUUUGUUUCCCCCUUUUUCAUAAUGUGAGAAGACCAUAGCCCUUACUUUUACAGUCCUCUGGAAUAAACACAAUAGGAGCUACAUCGCUUUCUUUGGAAAACUGUAACACUCCUUGCUGAAGUAGUGCUCCUAAAGGAUUAAAAAAAAAUAGUCAUGCCAUUUCUUGGAUGGAGUGAACUCUCCUCUCCUCUCCCUCUCCUCUCCUUGUUUGUCCACUUACUACAAGAAAUUAACCUGAUGGACACAGAUGCUGAAAGAACACAAGCUUCCAGAAAAGCUCCUCUUGACAUUUAAGAAAAAAUAACAGGAUUUCCAAUGAGGACUAGACAUCAAAAAGCCAAACAGCCAAAGGCUGUUCCCAGAAGAGGAUUUGCCUGUCUGAGAGCACAGACCUGAGAGGUUUCCAGGAGGAGCAGGCUCUUUCCUGCUGCCUGGCAGGCAGUGUGGUGAGGACCAAGCAAGCCCUGACUGGAGCCAGCUGAAAUUCAUGCAAUUCUUCUCAUUCAGUGCUACCCAACACGGAAUGGAAUGGAAUGGAAUGGAAUGGAAUGGAAUGGAAUGGAAUGGAAUGGAAUGGAAUGGAAAGGAAGCUUGCUGUAUUGCACAACUGCUCCUGCACUGAAGUCCCCAGCACAGUAGCACUUGGGUGAUUAAGCUGAGAAGAAACUCCUGGAAAAAACAAGUCUUUCCUGCAGUUAAGUUUGAACUUCAAGUGUCAACAAAUUCAAACCCCCCAAGAAUAAUGCUUUCUCCCCACAAAAUUUUUCUCUUCCCCUUGCUCUUGAUUCAGCCACUGAAGUUGCCAGCCAAAAGAAGCUUGAGGCAGUUUUGCAAUGCAGAUCCUUAGGGAUGGAAAUUAAUGUCUUCUUGGGAAAAACCAUCAGUCUGAAAUGUUGAUUGCAAUACUUACUCUUUCUCCAACAAAACAUGCUGUAAGCUGCAUAAAAUUGUCCCUUAAUUGUUUAAUUUAAAUCAGCUGUACUGGGACAUAUUAAGGAGGCAUCUGUUCUUUAUCUACUAAUAGACAUAGAAGGUGCUAACUGUCAUGUGAGUGGGUAGCACUGGUUCAUUACAAAUAUCUGCAGCAUGACCUAAUUUUAAAUGUGUAACAAAAGAAUUCUGUAUUUUCCAAAGAUGACAAUAAUAGCAAUAUAUGUUGUCUUUCACAGCGAGAAAUACCUCAGAGGGAUGCACUGAUGUUCUGAUGCAGAUUGGUCUGAAAGAUUUUUUUCCUGUUCUUUUUAAAAUAUUGAACACAACCUUGAAUAGUAUUUCAGCACUUUCUCAGGCUGAGGAAUCAGAGAUAAAAGCCUCUUCCCAUAAUACAACAUUUUUAAUGGGAAAAUGAGGCAAAACACCUUUAUCAACAUAGAAUGCUUUUUUUUUUUCUAAUUAAGGAAUCUACCUAAAUCAGAGUUUGCAGUCUCUCUCUGUGUCUUAGCAUUUCACCUUCCUUUGCCUCUUAAUCCCUUUUAUGUGCUUCAAUCACAACUUCAAGAAGCAGUGUGUGGACCCUCUCCUUCCUCCAGUAUGAAUGCCUUGUGCCAAAACACGGAACCAAAUAGAAAGCUUCCUCAGUGUACAUUAAAAGAGACAAAACAGUAAGCCCACUCAGUUCACUUGUCCUGUGAAAUGCCCAGAGAUGCACAAUUCCCUUGUGACCUGCUUUAGGGAGGUGCCAAAGGUAUGGUAUUCACAGCACCAUAUACCUUGUGAUAGUAAACAUCUGUGUUAUCUGAAAAGGCUGAAUCAAAGCAUGAUGUGCCACACAGUUAAUCACAGAAACUUUGUGGGACAAAGUGUGCAGUGAGCAAUCUAUUGCCAUGACUGCCAUAUACUCAGGAAAUUGCAGCACUCAAUUGGCUCUUGGAGUAGGAUAGUAUGAUUUUGCUGUUUUGACACUGUGUUGCUUGAAGUAGUAAAAAUAUUUGAAUGGUGUCACUCUGCCAUGAGACCUACCUGCCACCCCUUCUUGCUGCCAACAGUAAAAGCUUUUUUGUUUCCUCUAAGCAAGAGACAAUUAAGAUAUUUUUCUAAUCAUGUACUAUUUUAAAACCUGUCUAGAAGGUGUUACAGAUGGUUUGAGGAUGUUAACAAGGCUCAGUUGAUCCUAAAUUACCCAUUGAUAUUUUUAUUUUCUUUUAAUCUAUGUUACGAGUUCCCCUUCUUUUUUUCUUGGUGGAAUGAUUAAGGUCAGCCGCUUUCCAGCCCCAAAGGCUCAAAGCAAUAAUUUUGCUAUUGUGCAGUUAAUGUCAGGCUUUUUUUUUUUUUUGGCUCAUUGACUUUGUUUUUUGGAUUUGGUUGCACUAUUAACACUCCUUCUGCCACAGCAGACUAGACAUCCUAAGUCUAUGCACAAAAUCUAUUUUUCUGUCUAGAUGACAAAAUAGUGAAGACAUCCUUUCUGUUAGCUUUUAUCCACAACAGAUUUCUCUGAGUAGUUGUUGAUUGCAGGAAGUUUUAAUCCAGAUUCAGAAAUCCUAGUGACAUCCUGCUUUCUGAAAGGUGAUGUGAAGCAUUUUCUCGUGAUAAGGACAGUCAGAUUCCCCCUUUAAGGAAUCUCAUGUUUUGCAGCUGAAAUUAACAUAUCCAUUGGGGGAAAAAAAUAGAUUUCCUUGGUUUGCUGAGAUUUCUUCAUUUUUAUUCCUCAAUCCUAUGAAAAGGUAGUGUAGCCACAAGAUCCUUGCCUUGGAUGGUUACACUAUUGAAUACCUGCAUUACAAAGUCUUUCUCAGUUUUGAAAAGUAUUUACAGAAAACACUACAGCAACAUUGAGAACCAGCUAGCUGGACUUUUUAAGUGUCUUUAAAACACGUGAGAUGUCCAAGCAGGGAGGUGAUCACUAGAAGACAAGCACAGGUAACCCAGAAAAUCAUAUGCCAUUUUGCCUUUCUAAUUUUUAGUUAUAUUGCAAAUAUAUGGCUGUUUAAUUAGAGUGUGUUUUAUUUUAUUUUAAGUUUGGUUUUUUUUCCCUAAGAGUAUUUUUCUAGGAAGCCUCACAGGAACAUGUGUCUUCUAAGGAUAUGAAACAGAAAAACCAGGACUAUGAAGACAAAAAUCAAAUUGAGGCAGUUUAAAAUUCACCAGUACUCAGUGUGACGAUCUCCAGCAUAUUACUCACACUUCAAGGGUAUUGUCUUAGCAUAAAAUAGCUUAUAGGGGGGAAAAAAGGAAAAAAAAAGCACGUACAUGGACUUCUGCUAAAGUUAAUGUGAUGUUCUGUGGGACUGGUAGUUAAAUGGACUGGUGCCUGUCGAUUGUGCUAUCACUUCAGCUUGUAAAACCAAUUUUCUUGCAAGCAGUCCAUAUGUCAUUAGCAUUGUAAGUGCUGCAAGAAAAUAAUUAGCUUCUGGUGUACUCUAUAGCUAAAUCACUGGAG